rnacentral:rRNA from 1 species
CCUACGGUGUGCAGCAGUGGGGGAUAUUGCACAAUGGGGGAAACCCUGAUGCAGCGACGCCGCGUGUGGGAAGACGGUCCUCUGGAUUGUAAACCACUGUCCCCAGGGACGAAGAUGACGGUACCUGGGGAGGACGCUCCGGCUAACUACGUGCCAGAAGCCGCGGUAAUACGUAGGGAGCGAGCGUUGUCCGGAAUUACUGGGUGAAAAGGGAGCGUAGGAGGGGAUGCAAGUUGGGUGUCAAAACUACCGGCUCAACUAGUUGUCGCACGCAAAACUGCAGAUCUGGAGUGAAGUAGAGGCAGGCGGAAUUCCUAGUGUAGCGGUGAAAUGCGUAGAUAUUAGGAGGAACACCAGUGGCGAAGGCGGCCUGCUGGGCUUUUACUGACGCUGAGGCUCGAAAGUGUGGGGAGCAAACAGGAUUAGAUACCCGGGUAGUC